GGCUUUCCCAUAUAUAAAGGAUGCAGCAUGCGCCGCGGCGGGGAGUUUCAUGAGCCAUGGAGAAAAGUGUCUUAGUGCUCCUGUUGUGUCUUCAGGCCUUCCUGCUCGUCACCGCGUUAGACGCGACCGACGCCGCGCCUCAGUUGACGGGCAAUUGGCAACGAAAACCGGGAAGAGCCGUACGAGAAAGAAGAUGUCAUCCAAACUGUUUCCGGAGACCAGGAGUAUACUCGCUGUUAGGAGGGUCGAAGACGCCAGAUGACGCCACCGAGUCGCCAAUUGCACAACAAUUCACAAAACAUCUAGCGUGACUUGACUCAACUUUGCUUGCGCCGUCCUCUUUCCUGCUGGCUUUUCAAAGAAGGUGAUAUUGCGCUGUGAAGAAAUGGCAAGUGUGUACAUUAUCCCAUACAAUGCACCGCUGAAUAAACACACCUGGAACGAGCA